CCGGGAGCAUUGAUUUUGAGAUUGCAAACUAGUUUUAGUGGGUAAUGCAAGGCACUUGUAUUGGUUCGAACCCCGAGCGCACGCCAACAGACAACACAAGGCGGUGUGGAGCAACACGCUGUUUUAAUAAGCGCCCGAGCGCCGGCGGGCUGAGGCCUAAAAUGGCGUCAGCCCGAAACGGGGACGGGGCAGGGGUUUUAUAGUCUCCUGUUAACAGGACGUGUCUGACGUAACUGCUACGCUUACCCAGACGGCCUCUCUCUUGGUCUUCGGCGGGUACGUGUCUUCCGGCCAGCUCUCUUCCGCUUCUGCUGUCUUGAUGACGCACAGUGCUGGCGCAAGUCGUCUUGCGCCAGGCGACUGGGUCUGAGGAGGCAGGAGUUAUUCAUUCCCUUAAGCUUUCAGGCCGGGGGGAGAAUCUUUCAGGUGGUAGCUGCAAGAACUCUUAGUAUGUUGACCUCACCUCUGCCUUCCACAUACCACUACCAGUGAGGAAUUAGGAAUGCAUGAGAAGAGUGUCCAAGAAGAGUGUCCUCAUUCAUGCAAGGCUUAAGAGAGAAUGCAGGUCAACAUCACCAUGUCAAUCAGAGUCUGACUGGUUGGAAGAGGCCCUUUUCCCAGCCUUUGUGAAAGAGAUCUUCAUGUAAACAGAGUCCCUCUUAUUGGCUGAAGUGAAGAGUCAUUCUGAG
rnacentral:lncRNA from 10 species